UACAGAGGUCCCAAGCGUUGUUCGGAUUCAUUGGGCGUAAAGGGUGCGUAGGCGGCGCGGCAAGUCGGGUGUGAAAUCUCGGGGCUUAACUCCGAAACUGCAUUCGAUACUGCCGUGCUUGAGGACUGGAGAGGAGACUGGAAUUUACGGUGUAGCGGUGAAAUGCGUAGAUAUCGGAAGGAAGACCAGUGGCGAAGGCGGGUCUCUGGACAGUUCCUGACGCUGAGGCACGAAGGCCAGGGGAGCAAACGGG
rnacentral:rRNA from 1 species